UACGGAGGGUGCAAACGUUGCUCGGAAUCAUUGGGCGUAAAGCGCACGUAGGCGGACCGCUAAGUCGGAUGUGAAAGCCCUCGGCUUAACCGAGGAACUGCCUGUCAGACUGGAUGGCUUGAGACCGGGAGAGGUGAGUGGAAUUCCCAGUGUAGCGGUGAAAUGCGUAGAUAUUGGGAGGAACACCAGUGGCGAAGGCGGCUCACUGGACCGGAACUGACGCUGAGGCGCGAAAGCUAGGGGAGCAAACAGG
rnacentral:rRNA from 1 species